GAUGGGGGAGGGGGCAGCAACUGGGUGUUGAGAGAGAGGAGGACGACCCUUCUCCGUCCAGUCCCCCAAAUUCCUUUUCAGGGUCAGCCCUGCCAGGCAGACAGCAAGCCUGAGAGGCAGUGGAGGGUUGGGUGGGACCUCAACCUAUUGGGUGAUGACCUUGGUUGUUUUUCCCCCUCUCAACCCCCCCCCCCAUUCCCAGUCAGGAUGCUCAGAAACUCGGGGCUCACUUGGAUACCUGGGACACACCGAAGCAGGCGGAGCCAGCCAGGGCCGGGAGAAUCUUGGGCAGUGAGGCCGACCUUGGCCCAAGAGCCAACUUUGGGGGCCCCAAAGCCACCGGAAGUUCUUCUAGCCAGAGGGACUGGGCCCCUUUGAUUUGCUAGCCAAGAGAUGGAAGAAAGCCAUCGGGAUUCAGCACGUCUAGCAAGAACGGGCAGACCCCCAGUUGCUCUCCCAGCUUGGCCAUAAGGUAGGUAGACUGCCUGUCCCUUACCCACGUGGUGUUCUGCCUGCUCCGGCCCCCCUUUUUCCCUCGAGUGGAGGCUGAUUUGAGGAGGGAAUAUAAGCCCCAAACAAGAGGGGGGUGCUGUGGGGAGCUCCUGUACAGUUGGCUGCCUCUUUGAGGCCCUGGGCCCCCUCGGUGGCGGAUAGAGCCGUGAACCUGCUUGGCCUGUUUCUGGCCCUCCUGCCCUUCCCCUCCCCCUGUGGAGAUGUGUGCUAUGUUUCGUACUUGGCUGCCAAGCUGAGAGCCGAGAGUCUGUCCACCACCCCCCCCUCCCCCUUGUCUCUUCUGCAAUCCCAGGCCUACCGUAUUUACUGGCAUAAGGCCGGUCCUGGGGGGGAGGGGAGGAAGAGGAUGUGACCUUUUGGAUUAUCUGGCCGGGCUGUUUGAGGGAGGGAGGUAACCCUUGUGUCAUUACGGUAACUUUCUCUCCUGCUCGGCCGGGUCUCUAAGAAAAUGGACGAGGGGGGAGCGGAAGUCAGCUAGUUCUGAGCCCAAGCCAGGCCCUCCCUGCUCCCCACCCCCCUUUCCUGAGCUGUCUCCACCUUUCUCUCCCUGGGACCAGAAAGACUUUAGAUAGAGAUCUUCAAAAGCCCAGUACUUGGUUUAACAAUUUAAUAAAUGUUCUAUCUAAUCCA
rnacentral:lncRNA from 1 species